GUGUGAAUUGCAGAAUUCCGCGAAUCAUCGAGUCUUUGAACGCAAGUUGCGCCCGAGGCUUGUCCCGAGGGCAUGCCUGCCUGAGCGUCACCGCACUCCCACUCCCGUGGUUACAUCUCGGUUUGCGGACCGAGGGUGCUCCCGAGAGUGGAACUGGCCGUCCGGGACCCGGCGUGAAGCCGAUGGUCGUGGUUGGCUGAAAUGCAGCGUUCUGGACGCAGCUUAAGAGAGGGGCCGCGAGAAGGUGAUCCGCCCUUCGCCGGGCGGAGUCAAAAGACAGCGGUUCUCUCGCUUGGGUGGUCUGGGACGACCGCGGCGGGGCACGGCUCCGUUGGGGAAAUGCGAGGAGAUGGCCUGUCCAUCUCCUCUCCAGCUUGGACCUCAGAUCAGGCAAGAUUACCCGCUGAGUUUAA
rnacentral:rRNA from 1 species